AAAGUGUUCCCAGAAUU
rnacentral:rRNA from 1 species